GUAAAGGAUCGUCAACAAGGUUGUUCUAGUGCGUUGUAGAUUCUUAUCCAAGACUUGUAUCAUUUGAUGAUGCCAUAUACUUCACUUCUUUUU